GCGGAUGGCCGGAUGACCGCGGCACGGCUUCAUGCCGGGUCGAGGAAAGUCCGGGCUCCACAAGGCAACGGUGCCGGGUAACGCCCGGCGGGGGCAACCCCAGGGAAAGCGCCACAGAGAGAAGACCGCCGCGGGUCCGCCCGCGGCAAGGGUGAAACGGUGGGGCAAGAGCCCACCGCGGGACGGGCAACCGGACCGGCAAGGCAAGCCCCACCGGGAGCAAUGCCGAAUAGGGAGCGCGCGCCGGGGCAAGCCUCGGCAGGACGGCCUGGUCCGGGCGCUCCGGGUUGGCAGCACGAGCGCCGCGGCGACGCGGCGCCCAGAGGAAUGGUCAUCCACGGGGGCUUCGGCCCCCCGGACAGAACCCGGCUUACAGGCCAUCCGCGCAG
rnacentral:RNase_P_RNA from 1 species